AACCUAGCACACCUGCGGUGUGUACCUGCGGAGGGAUCAUUACAGAGUUGCAAAACUCCCUAAACCAUUGUGAACGUUACCUAAACCGUUGCUUCGGCGGGCGGCCCGGGUCCUUCCCGGCGCCCAUCGGCCCUCGCGGGCGCCCGCCGGAGGUAAACCAAACUAUUGCAUUGUAUGGCCUCUCUGAGUCUUCUGUACUGAAUAAGUCAAAACUUUCAGCAACGGAUCUCAGAUCGGAAG
rnacentral:misc_RNA from 1 species